rnacentral:rRNA from 1 species
UACGAAGGGGGCUAGCGUUGCUCGGAAUCACUGGGCGUAAAGCGCACGUAGGCGGAUUGUUAAGUCAGGGGUGAAAUCCUGGAGCUCAACUCCAGAACUGCCUUUGAUACUGGCGAUCUUGAGUCCGGGAGAGGUGAGUGGAACUGCGAGUGUAGGGGUGAAAUUCGUAGAUAUUCGCAAGAACACCAGUGGCGAAGGCGGCUCACUGGCCCGGUACUGACGCUGAGGUGCGAAAGCGUGGGGAG